GAUGAACGCUGGCGGCGUGCCUAAUACAUGCAAGUCGAGCGAACGGACGCGAAGCUUGCUUCUCUGUUGUUAGCGGCGGACGGGUGAGUAACACGUGGAUAACCUACCUAUAAUACGGGGAUCACUUCGGGACACCGGAGCUAAUACCGGAUAAUAUUUUGAACCGCAUGGUUCAAAAGAGAAAGACGGUCUUGCUGUCUCUUAUAGAUGGAUCCCCGCUGCAUUAGCUAGUUGGUAAGGUAACGGCUUACCAAGGCAACGAUGCAUAGCCGACCUGAGAGGGGGAUCGGCCACACUGGAACGGAGACACGGACCAGACUCCUACGGGAGGCAGCAGUAGGGAAUCGUCCGCAAUGGGCGAAAGCCUGACGGAGCAACGCCGCGUGAGUGAUGAAGGUCUUCGGAUCGUAAAACUCUGUUAUGAGGGAAGAACAUAUGUGGAAGUAACUGUGCACAUCGUGACGGUACCUAAUCAGAAAGCCACGGCUAACUACGUG
rnacentral:rRNA from 1 species